UACGAAGGGGGCUAGCGUUGUUCGGAAUUACUGGGCGUAAAGCGCGCGUAGGCGGAUUGGUCAGUUAGGGGUGAAAUCCCAGGGCUCAACCCUGGAACUGCCUCUAAUACUUCCAGUCUAGAGUUCGAGAGAGGUGAGUGGAAUUCCGAGUGUAGAGGUGAAAUUCGUAGAUAUUCGGAGGAACACCAGUGGCGAAGGCGGCUCACUGGCUCGAUACUGACGCUGAGGUGCGAAAGCGUGGGGAGCAAACAGG
rnacentral:misc_RNA from 1 species